CUGAGGGCAGGGAUAAGGAGACAGGAAACAGACAAAUGGAAUUCUUAUGGACAGCCUCCAGGCUGCUUUAGGGUUUGACAACACUGGAAUCAAGGAAAGGAGGGGGAAAUCGCACCACAUCUGUAUAGAUCCACCUCCAGUGGCAGCUCUGGUGGUGUUGGAAUUGCUGCUGACCACCACCCUCAACAGGUCUGCACCCAC